rnacentral:snRNA from 1 species
AUAUUUACCUGGACGGGGUCAACGGGCGAUCAAAAAGGCUCGUGGCCUAGAUCAGUGGCUCACAUUGCACUUGGUGAAUGUGUUGGUCUACCAUCUCCUCAAAUGGGAGAGUGGACGUCGUAAUUUGUGAUAGAGGGGUCAAAAAACGCGUUCGCGCGGCCCCUGC